CCAAUAGCGUAUAUUAAAGUUGUUGCAGUUAAAAAGCUCGUAGUUGAACUUCGGGGUUUACCCAUUGGUCAGGCUUAAUUGUCUGUACUGGUGAGAUGAAUCUCUACCUUCUGAGGAACUUUCAUGCCAUUUAUUUGGUGUGAUGGGAAAUCAGGACUGUUACUUUGAAAAAAUUAGAGUGUUUAAAGUAGGCUAACGUCUGAAUACAUUAGCAUGGAAUAAUGAAAUAGGACGGAUUGAUUCUAUUUCGUUGGUUUCUAGGAUCACCGUAAUGAUUAAUAGGGAUAGUUGGGGGCAUUAGUAUUCAAUUGUCAGAGGUGAAAUUCUUGGAUUUAUUGAAGACUAACUACUGCGAAAGCAUUUGCCAAGGAUGUUUUCAUUAAUCAAGAACGAAAGUUAGGGGAUCGAAGACGAUCAGAUACCGUCGUAGUCUUAACCAUAAACUAUGCCGACUAGGGAUCGGACGAAGUUAAUUUUAUAAUGACGCGUUCGGCACCUUACG
rnacentral:misc_RNA from 1 species